rnacentral:tRNA from 1 species
GGUUUGUGGCUCAGUGGUAGAGCACUUGCCUAGCAUGUGUGAGGUACUGGGUUCGAUCCUCAGUACUG